CGGUAAUUUGACCGUGCAAAGGUAGCAUAAUCAAUAGUCUUUUAAUUGGAGGCUUGAAUGAAAGGUUUGACGGAGGAGAAGCUGUCUUUUUAUUAGAAUUGAAUUUAACUUUUGUGUAAGAAGGCAUUAAUGAUUUAAAGGGACGAUAAGACCCUAUAAAACUUUAUAUAUUAUAUUUAUUUAAUAAAAUAGUUAAUUAAUUAUUGGUGGUUAAUUAUAUUUUGCUGGGGUGGCAGGAAUAUAAUUCUAACUGUUUUAAAUGUAAAAUAUUUAUUAAUAGAGAGUGGUCCUUUGUUUGAGAGUUGAGAGUAAGUUACUUUAGGGAUAACAGCAUAAUUUCUUUUGAGAGUUCUUAUCGAAGAUGGUAGUUGUGACCUCGAUGUUGAAUUAAAUUUUCCUUUUAAUGUAGGAGUUU
rnacentral:rRNA from 1 species